CCUUUGCAGGCUUGAGCAGUACAGCAGUACGUGAAUAAGAAAAAUAAUUUCAAGUGCUCCAGGAAAAUUGCAGCUGUGUCCUUACAGCUUGUGUCUCCAGCCUGUACGCCCCAGCAGCCAUGGCACGAGGCCGUCCCAUCUGCAACGGGCAGCUCUGUUCGGAUGCUUCCCUCUGUCAGCGCUGAGCACAACAAAGCCCUUACAGCAGUGUGGGACCAGAGAUGUUUCAUUUAUCCCACGGGCUGUUGAACUGCUGGCACCAGCCAGAUAGACAGAGCUGAUGUUGGAUGUCUGAAUUUUAGAUUUGCAAAGAAAAAAAGGUGAAAAAUGCUGACUGUAAGAAAUCCCUCUGGUAACAGUAAGAUUCUGCAUGCCAACAGGUCAGGUAAGUACCAGCAACUCAACAGCAGAGCACAUGAGGAGCUGGGAGAUUCCAUGGGUUAAGAUCUUGAAUCAAAAUUCACCAGUCUAAAAGACAGCAGUAAAAGCACACCACCAGCACCUGAGAACCAGGAGUGUGUGUGCAAACAGCGUUUUGAGAGAGCAGCACACGAAUGCUCCAUGCGAAAUACUAAAGAUGUGCUUCAAGAAACAUUUCAACAGGACAUCUCCCACCUUUCUGCUUUUAGGCUGACCUAAGAAGCAGUCUGGAGGAUUUUGUGGAUUAUUGGCAUCUUCAGCCCUACAUGAGCCACUCAAGAUCAUUUUAAUAGGCUCACUGCAUUAGAUGAUACUGCUUGACUGCAGGGCAUGUUACAGGUACUGCAGCAACAAGCAGCCCAGUGGUUUGCUCUUGUCAACUUCCCAUCCUUGUUAGGAGCUCUGACAUACCCAAUUCCAAGUGGCUCUAGAUAGUUAUUUCCACUCCCCCAGAAACUGAAGUCGUCAAAGAAUAGCUAAAUAUUUUAACUCAGGCAUCUUCAAAUAUGCUAUUUCCAUCCCUGGAUCUUUUGACUAAAUCUGGGUUUUGCAUUUCACUUGGUUUUUUUUGUUCCAUUUCUUGGCUGAGAAACAUCUGGGCUCACAAGACAAAAGCAGAACUCACUGGUGAGACUGUGGUCAUGGGAGAAAUGCUGACUGCACGUGCAUGUCCUCAGCUAUAAUUAAAUACCCUAAAAUGUAACUACUACAAAAACACUGCUGCCAGCUGUUUUUCCCUAACACUCGGUUGAGUUACAGUCAAAGCUCUGAAAACCGGGAGUUGAGGAAUUUAUCACUGACCUCUGCAAUGCCCUUCAAAGCGUUCUGCACAGGGCUCCAUGUGGGAUGUGAGCACAGUGCUGAGACCCAUGCUUCUGCACCUGGCUGGGCCGCUCUGAAGGCCACAGGGUCAGCGGCAGUGGGCUGGCUGAGCAUCCGCCACAAGUCAGUGGAAACAGACUUCUAGUGCCAAGCCAUUGAAAGCAUGGAAAGUAAUCAAAUGCUUGGAGUGAUGUGGAGAAACAAAUACGCUCAACAGGUAGCUCUAUUUCUAUUUUGAAGUUCCUAUUUUUGUCACAACCACCCUGCGGGUAGUUCUGCUAGCUUUUUCCAAUACACUCAGGAUGUACCAUAAGUGGACAACCUUCACAGAUUCACUGGCUCUUAAGACAGCAAACUAAGAGAAGUCCUAUCAAACACUUCAGUGACAUUUUCAAGGCAGUAAGGAUGACAGAUCUGAACACAGCUUGCUGGGCUAAUCCUGAUACAAUGUUAGCAGUUGUGAGUCUCAGAUCUUGCCAAAACAUAUCAUUUCAGGGUUUUCUGGAAGGCUCCUAUCAUCAUUAAUGUAUUUUAAUGCUGCUGCAGAAGUUGUCAUUAAUCUUUCUCAUAAGAUUCAUCUUUCUAUAAGAUGCCCACAGCUUAAAGCAUCCCUAUGUUAGGGUAAAAAUGUAUUCACAGCCCUUCUUAGGAACUGCCCAGUCUGUUUGUGAUCAGGCAAAGCUCCCAGAACCAAACCAACUGUAACUAACAGCAUCAAGUGCUGGUGUCUGUAUAACAGCCACUCAGAUGUAUAUUCUAUGAGCCAGAUCAUCCCUAUUAAAGAUGAAAUGCUUCACUUCCCAAUUUUUCAGUGUACACAUAUUUAUCUUCGCUUUCAUUUAAAACAUUGUUAGUAACUUUCCAGAACAGUUUGUGAAAGGAAGUGGUCCUCUGAGAAUGCUCUGAAAUUGUCCUAAAUCAGUGUUUGGUAUCCACUACAGCCUUUCAGCUUCCUCUGUGCUUAUACAGAUAAAAUCACAGCCUACAAAAUAAUUUGUGUAGCAUUUCAUCUGCAGACUGAUCAGCUUUCCUACAAAAUAUUUGCAUGGUGCCUCUGUUCAAUUUAGUAUAAAUCAUCCAAGUGCUGGCAAGAUUG
rnacentral:lncRNA from 7 species